AACCUUUAAAUUGUUUUAAAAAAAUGUUGAUAAAAAUAAGUUGAAUACUUGGCGGCAGAAACCUACUUGAACAGAAGGUCUAGAUAACACAGGUGACUCAAAAAUCGAAAAACUCUAGCUUUGUUUACAAUUUAAAAAAAUCUCACUGUAUCAAUUUGUUUCAAGAGGUAAUGAAAUCAUAUGAUUUGAACCAAUUAUUAUUUUCAACAUCUUUAAAAUUUUAGAGGGAUUCGAAAUAAUAAUGUGAAAUUGCUUAUUUCUUAAAUAAGGGUACUUACUGAGUGCGAAAUGGUCGACUUUAAGGGAAGGUGCGGAAAAUGCAGGAGAAACACUACAGCAAUUAAUCCCGGAUUGGUGUGCGCCAGCUGCCAUUUGGCUUUUCACGCAGACUGUCACUUACCCCCUAUGACAAUACGUGAGUUGAAAACGGUAGCUAUCACGGAUCCUCAAUGGGUGUGCAAAAAAUGCCAAAAGGAUCGAAAGGACAUCCCGGUGAUUAUGCGACCAAAAGAUGACCUCAUCGAUCUUUCGAUGAGGAUGGACAUGAUAAUCGAAGUGCGGGAGUUGCUAGAGCUGGCAGAACUGGCCUUAGACCAACUACAGGAGAAACAUGAUAAUUUAGUCAAACUGAACAAAUUUCUGCAGCAUGAGAACCUGAUACUAACAAAGCGGCUGAACAGGCUGGACGAAGCGUACAAAUUUAAGGUCGAAUUGCUUGAUCAAAUGACCAAACACAAAGCCACUCUCAAAGCAGAGGAAGCGGAAAAAUUAAAAUAUGAAGAUAAAAAAGAACCUACUGAAAAAAAAGAUUUAGAAGAGAAGAAAGAAGAAGAACUUGUUACAAAAGAUUUUACUACAUUUGCUAAGUAUGCAGGUCUUAACAAAAGUGAACGGGCUGCUUUUACUAUGCAAGGGCAUUUGAAAAAACUUUCCAAAACAUGGUUUACCCACCUGUGCCUGUUUCUCUGCGUUAUUAUAUACACUUGUGUUGGAGGACUCAUUUUCCAUUUAUUAGAAAAGGACAAGGAUUUGAGUGCAACUCCACACGGUAAAGAACAGUUGAUCACGGAAUACUCUUCUUUAUUAGCAGGGGAUUCGGACAAAAAUGUAACGUUGAAAAAGUUCGAAGGAGACGUGCGAUCCUUGCUUGUAUGGGAAGCCAAACUGCAACGAGGAGAAGAUGAACUUAAAUGGGGAUAUUUUGCGAGUGUUUUUUUCUGCGGGACCGUUUAUACAACCAUAGGUUACGGCCAUAUGUACCCAGAAACAGUUUUUGGGAAAAUAACGGUGAUCAUAUAUGCAACGAUAGGAAUUCCUCUCUUUUUACUCGCCCUCGCUGAUUUCGGUACUGCUCUUACUCGCUGGAUAAAAGGCAUGUGGAAUAUACUAUUGCGGUACAAUUGCAGUAAAUGUUGUAAGAAAAAGCUUAGCGACAGUGAGGAAAGACCAGUUAAUAAAGACGUUAAUUUGCCUGUAACGGUAGCGCUAGUGAUAGAACUAAUUUAUUUAGUAAUUGGUUCGGUUCUAUUCCACUUCUGGGAAGGAUGGUCAUUCCUCGAUUCUUUCUACUUUGUGUUCGAGUCUAUGGCAACCAUUGGAAUCAAGUCUACUUAAUAUUUACCAUGUUUUACAUACUUAUUGGUCUGGCGUUAAGUUCUAUGACAAUUAACGUCGUGAGGGAAAAAAUGGUGGAGACUAUGAACAAAACGAGCGCCAAAAUUGGGCAGACGCUCGAAACGUAUGUGGACGAAUUGAGCACGGAAAUUUCCAGAACUGAAAGCUUGGGAUUAACUGAAGAAAAUAGGAGGUGGAGAAGGUCAAC
rnacentral:misc_RNA from 1 species